rnacentral:rRNA from 1 species
GUGUGUGUGUUAGUGGAAGCGUCUGGAAAGGCGCGCGAUACAGGGUGACAGCCCCGUACACAAAAAUGCACAUGCUGUGAGCUCGAUGAGUAGGGCGGGACACGUGGUAUCCUGUCUGAAUAUGGGGGGACCAUCCUCCAAGGCUAAAUACUCCUGACUGACCGAUAGUGAACCAGUACCGUGAGGGAAAGGCGAAAAGAACCCCGGCGAGGGGAGUGAAAAAGAACCUGAAACCGUGUACGUACAAGCAGUGGGAGCACGCUUAGGCGUGUGACUGCGUACCUUUUGUAUAAUGGGUCAGCGACUUAUAUUCUGUAGCAAGGUUAACCGAAUAGGGGAGCCGAAGGGAAACCGAGUCUUAACUGGGCGUUAAGUUGCAGGGUAUAGACCCGAAACCCGGUGAUCUAGCCAUGGGCAGGUUGAAGGUUGGGUAACACUAACUGGAGGACCGAACCGACUAAUGUUGAAAAAUUAGCGGAUGACUUGUGGCUGGGGGUGAAAGGCCAAUCAAACCGGGAGAUAGCUGGUUCUCCCCGAAAGCUAUUUAGGUAGCGCCUCGUGAAUUCAUCUCCGGGGGUAGAGCACUGUUUCGGCAAGGGGGUCAUCCCGACUUACCAACCCGAUGCAAACUGCGAAUACCGGAGAAUGUUAUCACGGGAGACACACGGCGGGUGCUAACGUCCGUCGUGAAGAGGGAAACAACCCAGACCGCCAGCUAAGGUCCCAAAGUCAUGGUUAAGUGGGAAACGAUGUGGGAAGGCCCAGACAGCCAGGAUGUUGGCUUAGAAGCAGCCAUCAUUUAAAGAAAGCGUAAUAGCUCACUGGUCGAGUCGGCCUGCGCGGAAGAUGUAACGGGGCUAAACCAUGCACCGAAGCUGCGGCAGCGACGCUUAUGCGUUGUUGGGUAGGGGAGCGUUCUGUAAGCCUGUGAAGGUGUGCUGUGAGGCAUGCUGGAGGUAUCAGAAGUGCGAAUGCUGACAUAAGUAACGAUAAAGCGGGUGAAAAGCCCGCUCGCCGGAAGACCAAGGGUUCCUGUCCAACGUUAAUCGGGGCAGGGUGAGUCGACCCCUAAGGCGAGGCCGAAAGGCGUAGUCGAUGGGAAACAGGUUAAUAUUCCUGUACUUGGUGUUACUGCGAAGGGGGGACGGAGAAGGCUAUGUUGGCCGGGCGACGGUUGUCCCGGUUUAAGCGUGUAGGCUGGUUUUCCAGGCAAAUCCGGAAAAUCAAGGCUGAGGCGUGAUGACGAGGCACUACGGUGCUGAAGCAACAAAUGCCCUGCUUCCAGGAAAAGCCUCUAAGCAUCAGGUAACAUCAAAUCGUACCCCAAACCGACACAGGUGGUCAGGUAGAGAAUACCAAGGCGCUUGAGAGAACUCGGGUGAAGGAACUAGGCAAAAUGGUGCCGUAACUUCGGGAGAAGGCACGCUGAUAUGUAGGUGAAGUCCCUCGCGGAUGGAGCUGAAAUCAGUCGAAGAUACCAGCUGGCUGCAACUGUUUAUUAAAAACACAGCACUGUGCAAACACGAAAGUGGACGUAUACGGUGUGACGCCUGCCCGGUGCCGGAAGGUUAAUUGAUGGGGUUAGCGGUAACGCGAAGCUCUUGAUCGAAGCCCCGGUAAACGGCGGCCGUAACUAUAACGGUCCUAAGGUAGCGAAAUUCCUUGUCGGGUAAGUUCCGACCUGCACGAAUGGCGUAAUGAUGGCCAGGCUGUCUCCACCCGAGACUCAGUGAAAUUGAACUCGCUGUGAAGAUGCAGUGUACCCGCGGCAAGACGGAAAGACCCCGUGAACCUUUACUAUAGCUUGACACUGAACAUUGAGCCUUGAUGUGUAGGAUAGGUGGGAGGCUUUGAAGUGUGGACGCCAGUCUGCAUGGAGCCGACCUUGAAAUACCACCCUUUAAUGUUUGAUGUUCUAACGUUGACCCGUAAUCCGGGUUGCGGACAGUGUCUGGUGGGUAGUUUGACUGGGGCGGUCUCCUCCUAAAGAGUAACGGAGGAGCACGAAGGUUGGCUAAUCCUGGUCGGACAUCAGGAGGUUAGUGCAAUGGCAUAAGCCAGCUUGACUGCGAGCGUGACGGCGCGAGCAGGUGCGAAAGCAGGUCAUAGUGAUCCGGUGGUUCUGAAUGGAAGGGCCAUCGCUCAACGGAUAAAAGGUACUCCGGGGAUAACAGGCUGAUACCGCCCAAGAGUUCAUAUCGACGGCGGUGUUUGGCACCUCGAUGUCGGCUCAUCACAUCCUGGGGCUGAAGUAGGUCCCAAGGGUAUGGCUGUUCGCCAUUUAAAGUGGUACGCGAGCUGGGUUUAGAACGUCGUGAGACAGUUCGGUCCCUAUCUGCCGUGGGCGCUGGAGAACUGAGGGGGGCUGCUCCUAGUACGAGAGGACCGGAGUGGACGCAUCACUGGUGUUCGGGUUGUCAUGCCAAUGGCACUGCCCGGUAGCUAAAUGCGGAAGAGAUAAGUGCUGAAAGCAUCUAAGCACGAAACUUGCCCCGAGAUGAGUUCUCCCUGACCCUUUAAGGGUCCUGAAGGAACGUUGAAGACGACGACGUUGAUAGGCCGGGUGUGUAAGCGCAGCGAUGCGUUGAGCUAACCGGUACUAAUGAACCGUGAGGCUUAACCUUACAAC